rnacentral:rRNA from 1 species
UACGUAGGGGCCGAGCGUUGUCCGGAGUUACUGGGCGUAAAGCGCGCGCAGGCGGCUCGUCAAGCCUGACGUGAAAGCCCCCGGCUCAACCGGGGAGGGUCGUCGGGGACUGGCGGGCUUGAGGUCGGCAGGGGUUGGUGGAAUUCCCGGUGUAGUGGUGAAAUGCGUAGAGAUCGGGAGGAACACCCGUGGCGAAGGCGGCCAACUGGGCCGGACCUGACGCUGAGGCGCGAAAGCUAGGGGAGCAAACGGG